GCACGAGUCGUACAUUUAUCCAACGAGGUUCACCGACAUGAGCAUGAGCAUGAGCAUGAGCAUGGUUGACUGCCAAUGAGCUGCUACUCCGUUAUUGACAGAUCAGCUGAAGUUAAACAAUGAAUCAAAAAUGAUUAGUGGGAGCCAACCAUCCGUUCACUGUUUAACCUCUGAAGAUCCC